rnacentral:rRNA from 1 species
UACGGAGGGUGCAAGCGUUAUCCGGAAUCAUUGGGUUUAAAGGGUCCGCAGGCGGGCUAAUAAGUCAGUGGUGAAAUCCCCCAGCUUAACUGAGGAACUGCCAUUGAUACUGCUAGUCUUGAAUUCGGUCGAAGUGGGCGGAAUGUGUCAUGUAGCGGUGAAAUGCAUAGAUAUGACACAGAACACCGAUAGCGAAGGCAGCUCACUGGGCCUGAAUUGACGCUCAGGGACGAAAGCGUGGGGAGCAAACAGG